GGAGAGAUGGCUCAGUGGUUAAGAGCACUGACUGUUCUUCCAGAGGACCUGGGUUCAAUUCCCAGCAUCUACA
rnacentral:tRNA from 1 species